rnacentral:lncRNA from 1 species
UCGCUCCCGCGGCGCCGCAGCGGCUUCUUCUCCUCCUCUUUCGCCUCCUCCUCUUCCUUCGCUUUUUCUCCUCCUCCUCCUCUUCCUCCUUCUCCUCCUCCAGUUCUCCCUCCUCCUCUUUCCCCACCUCCUCCCCCUCGGCCACCGCCUCCUCUCCACCACCAUCACUCCCUCCGGGGCACCCCGGUCUCUGCAGAGCCCCCGGUCGGCGCCGUCUCCUCUGUGGCCCCCUGGAUUCCCCAGCCUGCCGAGCCCGGGCUUGGGGGUACAGACGGACGCGCGGACACUACAGAUUCCUCGCGCCCAGCGCUUCCGCGCUGCUGCCCUCCGCAGCCCCGCGUCUGGGGAGCUGGAAUCGCCACGGGAGCCCUCGAGGUCUCGGAGCCUGGCUGCCUGGGGAGGCGUCUGAACACGCACAGGACUCCAGGGCUUCCAGAUGAAGGGUGGAUCACAGUGCCAACCAUGUGGAUCGCCCCCAGAUGGACUUCAGCACAUCUGGCCCAUCUGUAGUAUUUCCUUCACCCAGUUUCAGCUGCAGUCCUGCCCUUCUGGCAGCUUCUGGCCACCACGAGAGAAUCGGCAUCACCAUGUCCAGCUGAUGUCCUUCCAGAUCACGGCAAAGGAAUGUGAAGUAUCAGUCAGCCCAAGUGAUCUUUUCGGGAGCAUCUUCCUCAUGUCAUGAGACUCUUAGAAAUUGCAAAAGUGCUUAGGAGUCUACAGAAAAAUCUCAGCCAACCCUGUGGCUCUGAGAUCCCGGUCCUGUGCAUCCUUGCCCCUGCCAGGUUACCUGAAGAAUGGCAGGUCUUUAUCUGUCUCUUCUGACUGCAGUAGCUCACUGCAGACCACCCACGGACCAGGCUCCGCACUGAGACCAAUUAGGGCAGAAUAGUACAACUUCCAAGGUGUUCACUUGGUUCUGGCCCCAGAAACACAUAGAGUGGGCACACGAGCCUCUCUGUGACUGUGCAAAGCAAGUCCAGAUGGCACGAGAUGCCAAGAAAUCCUGGGGUUACCCCUUGGGGUGCCCCCUCCAGGGGCAGGCACAGCCCAGGCCUGGUACACUUCCGGAUGGCUGUCUGAAUGAGCCCAGAACCACCAGCCUGUAAAGAAAACACAGUGAAUUGCUGUUAGAUCAUGUCAACUUUAAUGUGCUCCCAUAGUAUUAAAAACACAUCUGCAAGGAAAUUUUUGACUCUUCAAAGGCUCCCUACAGGCAAAAAUUUCCCUUAAGCCUCAUUCAGGAGGAAGACAGAGAAGAAGACAUCAUGAAGUUUGAGCGAGAUAUUGGGACAAAUCUGAAGUCAACCAGAGAGAUGUGGGUGGAGAGACCAGGACCAGAGGCUCAUUACUCACACCAGGUUUCUGCCAGAGGAUACAGAUGGGGACCAUGUGCCCAAGGAGACUAUCCAGAAGUUAAGAGCAGGACGGCUCCAUACAGUUGGGCAGGUUGUGCAAGGCAGCAGGGCACCCUCCCCUCCCC